GUUAUGUUUAGUGACAGAAAUUUUCGAGCUGAAUUCGAGCCAUUUCGAGCUCUUGUCGAGUUGAGUAAAUCGAGCCUUAUCGAGUCGAACUCGAGCCAGCUUCUUACUUAUUCGAGUCGAGCUCGAGCUCGAGUGUACAGUAGUCGAGCCUGACUCGAUAAGUUCAAUGUUAGACUCGGCUCGGCUCGUUUGCACCCCUAGUUUCAACAAUACUCCAAGCUAGUAGUACUCAUAGCUAAAAUUUAUUAGACACCUAUAUCCAAUGCCAUAAAGACCCCAAACCAAGCAGUUGAAAUUCAAAGGAUGAGUUUGAUCAAAUUGACCAAUUUUUUGGUUAAAAAAAUCAGACAAAUAACUUAGUAUAAAACGACGGGGAAAACCGGAUAUAAUUUCACCUGCAACACUCUUCCCAUUAUUCAAAGCCACGUUUUUCAAUUAUUACCACUCACAUACCCACAUACGUAAGCUGCCCUCCCCCUUCAACCCCUUCCUAUCACCCCCCAAUAGCCCACCCCUUUCCCCGUUAUACAAAUACCCCGUACUAUUCCUUGUUACUCUGACUUUUUUUCAGCUUCCUAUGUUCUUCGUCCUCUGAGGUAUGCCCUUGGAUCUAUAUAAUUUUUUCCAUUAGCCAUUUUGAAUGAAAGAUUGGGGCUUUUUUAAGUUGCCUGAUUGGAUUUUUUUGUUUAAAAAUUCCCUGUUGCGAGUGGUUUUAGUUUUAAUUGUCUGUUCUGGGCUAAUUCUUGAUUAAAAUGUUGAGGGUUAGUAAACACGACGAAUACAAACGGAUUAUAAAUUGAGAUGGGCUUUUCUUAAUUGGGUGUAAUUUGUUAUAAAGAUUGGAUUUUUAUUAUAUGGUUCAUGUUUUUCUUUCAUUUUUCUACUAUAUGCGCUUACUUCACAUAUCUUCUUGAUUUUGCAUUGCAAAUUUAGGGUUAAUGGUCGAGCAUGUUUGCCGCAUUUUACAUCAGGAAGCAGAUGUUCUAACGGUUCAUGUUCACUUUACAUGUUCGUAGGGUUUCCAACCGACUUUCAAGCGCGAAUCAAUUUUACACUUGAAUACUCCGCCUUUUAUCGUCAUUUUCCUCCUCUUAUUUCUCUAUUUCAAAAGCCCUAGAAAGAGGCCAAUAGGUGAAAGAAAGAACAGGAAAAUUAUACAAACCAGAGAAGAAUCAAUUCCAUGGCUGCAUCGGGUUCGGUGGUGCCGGCAAACAGGACCCGUCGAGGUCCGGCGCUUGACGCCGGCGAUGAGUCGCUGGUGUUCGAGACGACCAGGGGUGUGGAGCCCAUCAUGACCUUUGACGCAAUGGGCAUAAAAGAUGACUUGUUGAGAGGGAUUUAUCAAUACGGCUUCGAGAAACCCUCCGCUAUUCAACAAAGAGCUGUGGUUCCAAUUAUAUCUGGCCGUGAUGUCAUCGCUCAGGCUCAAUCCGGAACUGGGAAAACCUCAAUGAUUGGCCUAACCGUCUGCCAAGUCGUUGACACCAAAUCUUCUGAGUACGUAAUCUAAUUCGUAAUUACAAUAGCUAGGGCUAAGGAGUUGAGUUUUGGAUUUUCUUUUGUUUAAUCUUUUAGGUUACUCUGUUUAAUUUGGUUGCCCUUGCUUAUUUAAAUUUGGUUUGUUUAAGAUAUUGGAGAAAAUUUGUAUAGCAGUAUUUUAUGAUUUCAAACUUUAGAACACUGGUAUAGUAUUAAUUUUUUUUUUUAAUUUGCAGAGCGGACAAACAUAUUUAACCUAUAGGGCGUGACAAAAUUAUGAAACAGGCUCGCUCGGAGCCCUAAUUGAUAAACAGGCACAGUUUUUGUCUUUAUGGACCUUAUAAAGUAGCAAUAGAUAAAUAUGGCUUUACGCUUGAUGAAACAGGCACAGCGGGGAGGACUCUAAGAGCCCUCCUUGGCCACUAGGCAGUGUUUUGAUGGUGCCAUUUUUUAUUUUAUUGGUUGGGGUGCUUCUUGUUUUGUUUGUUUCUUUUUCUUGUUGCAGCUGUUUGUUGUUCAAGCUGAAAGUUUAAGUUGAGAUGUUUGUGGUUGAAAGUAAAAUGUUGAAUUAAAAGAAAAAAGAAGGUUAAAAGUUAUAUAUGGGCAAAAAUUUUAUUUGGUCACAUUGGGGUAUAGCGCUUGUGUUUUGUUUGUUUGUGCUUUUUCUUGUUUUCUGCUGCUCAAAAUAAUCUUUUUCCAAGAGAAGUUUAAUUGUGGGAAUAAUAUCUUACAUAGGGAUUUGGAAUAAUUAUUUUGUUUUCCAUCAUUUAGGGUGCAAGCCUUGAUAUUAUCACCCACAAGGGAAUUGGCAGCACAGACAGAGCAAGUGAUACAAGCAAUUGGUGAAUUCAUAAAUGUACAGGUGCACGCAUGUAUUGGAGGCAAGAGUGUGGGAGAGGAUAUUAGGAAGCUAGAACAUGGGGUUCAUGUGGUGUCUGGGACGCCUGGCAGAGUUUGUGAUAUGAUAAAAAGAAGAACACUCCGAACAAGGGCUAUUAAGUUGUUGAUUCUUGUAAGUUAAUAUACUUCUCCUUUUUAUACUUCUGACCUGUUAAUUGUGAGGCUGUUGACCAGAGUCUGACUGCAUUUUUUGUCUUUCUUAUUUCUGAAACAUUUUUAGGAUGAAUCAGAUGAGAUGUUGAGCCGUGGGUUUAAGGAUCAAAUUUAUGAUGUUUACAGAUAUCUUCCUCCAGAACUUCAGGUAAGCACACUUCUUGUAGGGUAACCCCCUUCCCUUAGUUGUCAACAUUCUCAUAUGUUAUGGGAAAAGAGAAUAUGUUGCUUGCUGUCCAAGAAUUGGCAUUGGUUAGCUAUGCUCGAUUUAUCUGUAUUGCUAGUCACUAACUUUUUACUAAGGGUGGUGCCAGACAGAUCCUAAGAUAAUUAGUAACCUUCUAGAGCUUAUUGACUGAGAGGCUAUAAGGAAAGUAGUAGUUUUUGAGGAGAGUAGUUUGCUUUUUCAGGGUUUGGAAUCAUUGCAUGUUUUUGUCAAACUAAUCUAGUCAAAUGCAUUUUACAUCGUCGAGAGUGCCAUUAAUGCUGCAGUUUUACUGCAGCAAAUUUUUAUUUAUCUUUUAUUGGAAUUAGGAGAUUUUUUGGUUUCUGCGCAUUAUCUUUUUUUUCUGUUUAAGGAUACUCAUUUGCGGGAAAGAGAUAGAUUGUAUUAGUGUCUGAUAUGCGGGGAAAACAAAUAAAAUUACUUGCAGGAUCAAUUUUAUAAGCUUCUUCUAAAUGGUGCUUCUAUUGGGGAUGUGAAUGUGGAUCCGGUAUUUAUGCUAAUCAUUCAGCAGACUAAGCACUAUUUCAUCAAUUGCAGGUCGUAUUGAUUUCUGCUACCCUUCCGAAUGAGAUUUUGGAGAUAACGAGUAAAUUUAUGACAGACCCUGUUCGGAUCCUUGUGAAACGUGAUGAAUUGACUCUGGAGGCAAGUCAUAGUUUCGAAGUUCUACUUAUUGUGAAUAAUUAUUUUAUCAUUAAUAAGUAGGUAAUUAAUUUUUUUUUGGCGGUUACAAUGCUGUAGGGGAUCAAGCAAUUCUUUGUUGCUGUGGAAAAAGAAGACUGGAAAUUUGAUACCCUAUGUGAUCUUUAUGAUACCCUAACCAUCACCCAGGCUGUUAUUUUCUGCAAUACAAAGAGGAAGGUAACAUUAUUAUUUGCAUCUCUUUCCUAAGAUCGACUAUGUUACUGUGUUGCCUUUGUACAAGAGGCACUCUGAAAGUUAUGGAGAUAGUGUAGAAACUUUAGUUACUUUUGCUGAGAAUGAAGUUUGAUAUUUCAAUCAUAUCUACCCUUGUUGUUUUCUUUUUGUUUUUCUUUAUGAGAAAUAUAUAUUUAUCAACACUCGAAUGUGUGGUUUUCUUUUCCUGGAGUAGUAAAGCCCAAGUCAGAUUUAGAGCAUUAAGUGUUCUCCUGAAGCCAUUAUUUUUCCUCAUUUGCCAAUAGGUCUUAGCAUAACCUCCAGGGCCUUUGGCAAAGAGAUAAGUUUUUCUCAAGUAGUUGAAAAUGUGUUCUUAUGAACUCAAAAUUUGAAGAGCUAAACUAAGAAUGUGUUGCCAAAUAAAUAUAUAGUCAGAUCCACCUUAGACAAAUUAUUAUCACAGCUGCAAAAAUUUAGGAUGUUGAGGUCUUGCAGGCUGCUGUUUGGAGGGAAAGAAUUAUUUCUUUCUUUGGUUUUUUUACUUUUUUUUUUGGUGGGUUUUGGGGGAGUUACGAAACAUUGAUAACUGAAGUCUAUAAAAUGUCCUCACUGGUGUUUUGGUGAAAAGGCUUUUUCUUCUUGAGUAGUUGAAAAGACAACCAAAAUGGACUAUCUGGUUCUAAAUCUGUAAUAGUGAAACCCUAUUUCAGUGGAUAGAAUGGUUGUGAAGUUUUGGAUGUUAACAUCUACAUUAGCAGAAUGAUACUUGUCUGUAGGCAUGAAAUCAGUGUUUGUGGACGAGAAGCAUUACUUAGAGGUUCGCCAAAAUUGUUUAAUUUAACAUGAUUUAUGACAUGACAGGUUGAUUGGCUAAGUGCAAAAAUGAUAGAGAAUAAUUUCACGGUCUCGUCUAUGCAUGGAGAUAUGCCUCAGAAGGAGCGAGACGAAAUUAUGAAACAUUUCCGAGAGGGUAAUACUCGUGUUCUUAUCACAACUGAUGUUUGGGCAAGGGGCCUUGACGUUCAACAGGUAAAAUUUAGAUUCCACAACCAGCAAUUCCCCUGCCAGCCCCAGCUCCCCCCUCCCCUGCGGGCCCCAAAAAGCCCUCCUUUCAUCUUAUUCUUUCUUUUGGAUUUUACAUUUUGGAGCUAGUUCUUUGUCCCUUUUUUUUUAUUUGUCUGCAUGAUUUUUCUCAAAUGCUUAACCUUGUAAGUGGAAAUUCACGUGUAGUCUUUUGCUCAGUUUUCCCACCCGCUUAUGGAAAUAGUGAUUGUGGAAAAAGUUGGUUAAUAUUCGAAAGCAUGUUUCUUUGGAAAGCCAUAAUCUGUCACCUUGUCCAUCUCCUAAACUGUCACCAGUUUUUAUCAUCUUAUAAUAAACAGCUAUAUUAAGCUUAUUUUGUGCGACUAUGAAAGGCCAAACUUGUCCAGGUGUAAAUUCGGCUAACAGAGCAAAAAACAAAUGAGGGUGGAGUCCAUGCUUAUCUGCUCACCCUCCUUUACUGUUUGCCUUUUCUUUCUCUUUUUGCAGUUUUCCUCCUGUGGGAGUCUUUUUGUUUGCAUUUGCGAUGGUGUUGUCAAAUUGAUUUUUGUUGUGCUUUGCAGGUAUUUUUAGCUGGAGUUAUUUGAUUUGAUUUGUUGCAAAAUUAGGCACAAUUGUUUGAUGUGCAUCAUUAGAUACAAAAUUAUCUUGACAUUUUCAGAUCAGGACAUAAGUUGCUCCAGAUACCUCUCUAGGUUAAAGUGAAAUUCAGAAUCUCGGUCAUAUAUUCAAAUCAUUUAUUGUGAGCUUUCCAUCUAGUUGAACGGAAACUUAUCUAGUUUUAUAGCAUUGGACAGUAUUUUUUUUCUUUGAAUGUUAUUCAUUUUAAUGUUAUUUACAAUUGGUAGACAUGGAUAUACAGUCAACAAAGGUUUAUGCAUGUAUGAUGUGUUUAUGGAGGUUGAGUAGCUGCUGCUUUUUUGACAUUGUACAUGUAAUGUAUGUGGGCUGGGUAGCUUCUUUCUUUAGAGUGCAGACUCCAUUGAACAUGGGCUUGGCAUGCAUUGCCCCUAAAACUCUUGAUUGAGUCACUUGUCUGCAUUUGACUUUUUAUCCAUAACCAAUUGGCCAAGCAUUACAGAUCAUGAAGUCUGGUGGAGCAAAUCAUCUGGAUUAUCAUGUUAAAUUUUAGCCAAGCAUUAUGGAAUUAUUAAUUCUUUUUAGUAAAUAAAGUGCAUUAUUGAGAGCCCCUAAAACUCUUGAUUGAGUCACUUGUCUGCAUUUGACUUUUUAUCCAUAACCAAUUGGCCAAGCAUUACAGAUCAUGAAGUCUGGUGGAGCAAAUCAUCUGGAUUAUCAUGUUAAAUUUUAGCCAAGCAUUAUGGAAUUAUUAAUUCUUUUUAGUAAAUAAAGUGCAUUAUUGAGUUGAAUAUUCUAGGAUUAUAUAUAUGGUCCUUUAUAAGUGCUGGAUGCUUCCCCCCUCCCCUCCACAUUUUUAUGUUGAAGUGGAGUUCCAUUUCUUUUGGAUUCCUCUUGGUUUGCACAACCAUUUUGGUGUCAGCAGCUCAGUAGACCAUUGUAUUACAAGCUACAGGCCCCAUCCAUAGCCAACCUAUCUUAUCCAUCCUUUCUAUCCAUCUUAGCCUUUUCCUGGCUAUCUCUGUUAGCUGUCUUCCUCACGUGGCAGCCUCUAUUGUGGCCCCAUCAGCACUUGCAAGUGUUGUAAGCAUCUCAGUCACCUGGUCUAGCAACUAGUCCCACCAUUCCCAGCCUUCAUAUGCAAAAAAUGAAGGAUUAUUUGCCAUAAAUCAUCAGUGGCAAUCUUUAGUUCAAGAAACUGGAGCCAAUUAAAUAUGAUGGGGAAGGGGUUCUGGGAAUUGCUUGGCUAGAUUAUUUUUCAGACGAUUCUUAGUAUGUUUCUAAGUGAUUACUGUGCAUUAUGCAUAAAUUCAGAUCUUGGAUACGAAAUCACUGUGUGCAUGUCAUUUGCAUGUUUGUUGCAGCUUUUCCAUGUUGAGUUGAUGGAACCUAACUUUUUAGUAAUUGCAUAAAUUGUAACUAGAUAAUAGGUUGCCUGGAAUUACACUUGGACUUAGCUUGGAAGUACAUCUUGUUCAAUUAAGAGAUCACUCAAAGAAGGUUUGUUAAACAUAUCUGGAAACCCAGAAAUAUAUCUGGAAAUUGUCCCUCUUCCAUGAGUUUUAGGUUUAUGUGGAAUUGCAUAAUUCUUGAAAUGCAUAUGUUUCAAAGUAUAGCUUUUUUUUAAGAAAGAAUUUAACAUUAUUCACUCUGGGGCCAGUCUCACAUAAUUGACUACUUUAAGCUAGGCAAGCUUUUAAUCUUUCAAAUUCUGAGUAGCUAUUAGGGACUUAUGCUUGUUUAGCAAACCUGGGAUUUUGCAUUGACGGGCUUAAGCCAAUAAACAUUCUGAGGCUUCAAUAUUCCGUGACAAUAAUUCGAGCUUUCUUCUAGUAGUUGUGCACCUUUGUUGGAAGUUUCUUUUUAUAAAUUUGUAGUUUCUCCUCCUAGAGAUUUUUUUUUCAGGUGUUACGAGGCUUGUCGUAAAUAAACCACCUUCUUAGAGGAGCCUGUUUGGAGAUUGAUAUGUUUUUCGGUAUAGAGCUUUAUGGUAGGAGAUUGUAUAUUUGCUUGUAUGAGAUUUAUAGGUUUUCUGUAUUUGCAUUGUAUUGUCACUGCGCUCUAUUGGCCGCAUUUACUUCUUCAUAGUUAAUGCGAUUCUCUUUUUGUUUGUCUUGGUACAUGGCUGGAGUCUGGUUAUGAGCAGUCUAAUUUUCUUGUGUUUAUUUAAUUUGUUUAAGGUGUCCCUAGUGAUUAAUUAUGACCUUCCCAACAAUCGAGAACUUUACAUCCAUCGGAUCGGUCGGUCUGGUCGUUUUGGGAGAAAGGUAUUUCCUGUCCUUUCAAGGAACUGCUUACAUUGCAAUGCUAAUUUUCCAUAUCCAAUAUCCCUGUUAUAGAUUUUUAGAUAUUAGCGUGUUAUAAGUGCUGUAAGAUAAGUGAGCGCAAGAAUGGUGUACAGUUUCUUAUUUUACUAUGUCCAGAAGGGGAAGAUCUGUUGCUUUUCUUUCGAUUUCUGCUCAGAAUAUCUUCUAGUUGAUCUAUUCUGUUGUCUGAUUAUGUACUCUGGAAUGGCAUGCAAAGUGGUUUUACAAGGUUUGUGCUGGGAAUGGGCUGUCAAAGUUAUGUGGGUACUAUUGGAAAUAAUUGUGUGAAGUUUUAUUGUCGUGGUUCUUACACAAUUAGUUUCUAUAGUGAAUUCUGUAAUCUUAAAAUUGUGUAUAGAUGAGUAUAUUAAACGUGCGUCUCUACAGUACACACACUACACCUAAUUUGCAAGUCAAAGGGAGAAAAUAAUAUCUGGACAGUUGAAUAGAGUGUAUCUGUGUUAUAGAGUAAGCAUCAAGUUUUCACUUUGUUUUUUGUCUGCACACUAUGAAAAUAAGUUGUAUGUUUGCAAUGAGUUGUAGAAUGGUUAUUUUGAGCCUCAAAUGUCCUCUUCACCGAAUAGCCUUAACGUACUCAUGUUGUUUUGGCUUCAGUGUCACAUAUAUUAUUCAAUUUAAAUGCUUUUUGUGGAAGGAGAUAGCAACAUGCACAGAGUACCCCAUUUUAAUUUAUUUUUUGUGAAUAUCAGCAUUGCGCAUGUUCAGUGCAUGAACUUCCUACCUCAGCUUUGUUCCUCUUAAUACCUAUACGAACUUGCAAGACCAGUGUGAUUUUGUCCAUGUGUCUAGUAGAUUUCUGCUGAGGCAAUGCUGCUCUGUGCUCAUAAAGACUAUAAACGUCUAGCCAACCUUCUUGCUAAGUGAAUUAGGGAGCAUCAAAAGUUAAAAAGUAAAAACAGAUUCAGUGAGGCUUAUUAGAUGCAAGUUGCUAGAAACUUUCAUGUUGAUA
rnacentral:lncRNA from 1 species